AUGCGCCCUGAGGGCUCGCUGACCUACCGGGUGCCAGAGAGGCUGCGGCAGGGUUUCUGUGGCGUGGGUCGGGCAGCACAGGCCUUGGUGUGUGCGAGUGCCAAGGAGGGCACCGCCUUCAGGAUGGAGGCUGUACAGGAGGGGGCGGCCGGGGUGGAGAGUGAGCAGGCGGCUUUGGGGGAGGAGGCGGUGCUGCUGUUGGAUGACAUAAUGGCGGAGGUGGAGGUGGUGGCGGAGGUGGAGGUGGUGGCGGAGGAGGAGGGCCUCGUGGAGCGGCGGGAGGAGGCCCAGCGGGCACAGCAGGCUGUGCCUGGCCCUGGGCCCAUGACCCCAGAGUCUGCACUGGAGGAGCUGCUGGCCGUUCAGGUGGAGCUGGAGCCGGUUAAUGCCCAAGCCAGGAAGGCCUUUUCUCGGCAGCGGGAAAAGAUGGAGCGGAGGCGCAAGCCCCACCUAGACCGCAGAGGCGCCGUCAUCCAGAGCGUCCCUGGCUUCUGGGCCAAUGUUAUUGCAAACCACCCCCAGAUGUCAGCCCUGAUCACUGACGAAGAUGAAGACAUGCUGAGCUACAUGGUCAGCCUGGAGGUGGAAGAAGAGAAGCAUCCUGUUCAUCUCUGCAAGAUCAUGUUGUUCUUUCGGAGUAACCCCUACUUCCAGAAUAAAGUGAUUACCAAGGAAUAUCUGGUGAACAUCACAGGUGACAGGUGGCUCCCAGGAUGGGUAGUGGAAGGAAGAUGGUGGGUGGAUCAUUGCCAACGGGAUCCAGCCCCCUUCCCACAAAAACUCCUGUCUCUGUAGAAUACAGGGCUUCUCAUUCCACUCCAAUUGAGUGGUAUCCGGAUUAUGAAGUGGAGGCCUAUCGCCGCAGACACCACAACAGCAGCCUUAACUUCUUCAACUGGUUCUCUGACCACAACUUCGCAGGAUCUAACAAGAUUGCUGAGGUGAGUCCUCACUGGGAAACAUGAGGAAUGACCCCAUGUGUUCCCAGCUGCUUGGGUCACCUUUCUGAGCCCUGAUGAGGCCUUUCCCGAUUGAGUCCCCUGACAGAUCCUAUGUAAGGACCUGUGGCGCAAUCCCCUGCAAUACUACAAGAGGAUGAAGCCACCUGAAGAGGGAACAGAGACGUCAGAAAUUCCUUGAGAGGAAGACAGAGAGUGACAGAAUCCAGGACGUUCAUGGCAUUGGGCUGAAAAGGCACGUUAGAGACUGCACUGCAAAGCGGGUGAUAGCUGUGGAGUCUUAAGCCCAGUGAAGAAUCGUCCAUUUCCAGAAUCAAUGAGAAGUAAAGCUGAAAAUCAUUCAGUUCAGUCUGUGGCACUUGAUUCCACGGCUGUCAACCCCACCGGCAGUCAUCCCGCCAACCCCAUGAGAUUGGGCUCCCUGAAUGUGCGUCCUGGUCAUCCUUGCCCCAAACCACAAAGGACUGUUUAGAUUGAUGGAUUUCCUUAAGCUGUUGCCCCAUCAGACUUGUGUGUGCUUUUAGGGUCCAGUGCAUCUUGUUAGCUGACUCCCCUCACAGACAAUACUGGGAAUGGGGCAGGGAUUGCGCAGAACAGUUUGUAACACGUGGUAGGAGGAAGUUUAAGGGAUCACAAAUGGGGAAGGGAUAUCCUUUUCUCAGCGGGCCCCACAAUUGAAACAUUUCAAAGUAUGGCUCAGAGAAAAUGCGUUUUAACAUGAGUUUGUGUUUCUCUAGGGGACUCCCAGUUGUUGAGUUGAAUAUGAUGGAGCAUCAGAUUUUACCUAAUACAGCAGAACUCCUAAAAAGUUACAGCCAUAUGCAGGACGGCAGUACUCAGCAUGGUCUUAUGCACAGGAACUAAAGGAAAAAGAGAUCGAGUCACAAAAAUUCAGGAAGAGGGGGUAAAUGUGGAUUGUAUGGAAUGAAAAAUAAACAUUCUCAAGGAUGUGUG
rnacentral:misc_RNA from 1 species